GGGCGCAGCCCUGACGCAGCAACGCCGCGUGAGUGAUGAAGGCCUUCGGGUCGUAAAGCUCUGUCAGAGGGAAAGAAAUGUAUGGUGGUUAACACCCCACGAUGCUGGCGGUACCCUCUAAC
rnacentral:rRNA from 1 species